UGGCCCUAAGUUUGUAGAACCGCGGUGCACUCUAGGGUUAUGGGGAUGUAGGCAGGUCUGUACACAGGAACAGGAGCAGGCGGAUGUGAUGAAUGUCAGUCAUUAUUCUGUGCAUUCCUGCAUGCCAAACGACCUGUGGACGCGGCAGCUCGACUUCACAUCAUGGUGUUUCACAGUAGCAGGGGCAACAUGCUGGCAUGUUUGGCUGGUUGAAGGUGCCAAUCCUCCCUACUGACAGUCCUAAUAUAGAAAUAAUAAUAGUAUGCCG
rnacentral:lncRNA from 1 species